rnacentral:rRNA from 1 species
CCUACGGGUGGCAGCAGUGAGGAAUAUUGGUCAAUGGACGAGAGUCUGAACCAGCCGAGUAGCGUGAAGGAUGACUGCCCUAUGGGUUGUAAACUUCUUUUAUAUGGGAAUAAAAUGUUCCACGUGUGGGAUUUUGUGUGUACCAUAUGAAUAAGGAUCGGCUAACUCCGUGCCAGCAGCCGCGGUAAUACGGAGGAUCCGAGCGUUAUCCGGAUUGAUUGGGUUUAAAGGGAGCGUAGGUGGAUUGUUAAGUCAGUUGUGAAAUUUUGCGGCUCAACCGUAAAAUUGCAGUUGAAACUGGCAGUCUUGAGUACAGUAGAGGUGGGCGGAAUUCGGGGUGUAGCGGUGAAAUGCUUAGAUAUCACGAAGAACUCCGAUUGCGAAGGCAGCUCACUGGACUGCAACUGACACUGAGGCUCGAAAGUGUGGGUAUCAAACAGGAUUAGAUACCCUGGUAGUC